CAGCCGCCGCGGUAAUAUGUAGGUGGCAAGCGUUGUCCGGAAUUAUUGGGCGUAAAGGGAGCGCAGGCGGUUUAGUAAGUCUGAAGUUAAAGGCAUUGGCUCAACCAAUGUAUGCUUUGGAAACUGUUAGACUUGAGUGCAGAAGGGGAGAGUGGAAUUCCAUGUGUAGCGGUGAAAUGCGUAGAUAUAUGGAGGAACACCGGUGGCGAAAGCGGCUCUCUGGUCUGUCACUGACGCUGAGGCUCGAAAGCGUGGGUAGCGAACAGGAUUAGAGACCCCUGUAGUCCCUGUCUCUUAUACA
rnacentral:rRNA from 1 species